UACGUAGGGUGCAAGCGUUGUCCGGAAUUAUUGGGCGUAAAGAGCUCGUAGGCGGUUUGUCGCGGCUGCUGUGAAAACUCGGGGCUUAACUCCGGGCCUGCAGUGGGUACGGGCAGACUAGAGUGCGGUAGGGGAGACUGGAAUUCCUGGUGUAGCGGUGAAAUGCGCAGAUAUCAGGAGGAACACCGGUGGCGAAGGCGGGUCUCUGGGCCGAAACUGACGCUGAGGAGCGAAAGCGUGGGGAGCGAACAGG
rnacentral:rRNA from 1 species